GACAGGAGCACACUCAGCUGCAACUUCAUGGAAGGAGAAGGUUCUUGGUAUUGCCAGUAUAUCUAGGAGGAGCCCACAGCUAAAAAAGGUUCGAACUUCCAAGACAUCACUACUCUUCACUGGAAUCAACUCACUGUCUAUGCAGUCAAUACAAGUCCAGGAACAUCAACUGAUGGAAGUCCUCUAAGCUAGGUUGCUUGCAAGACAGGAGCACACUCAGCUGCAACUUCAUUGAAGGAGAAGGUUCUUGGUAUUGCCAGUACAUCACCAAGCCCACAGCUAAAAAAGGUUCCUACUUCCAAGACAUCACUACUCUUCACAGGAAUCAACUCACUGUCUAUGCAGUCAAUACAAGUCCAGGAACAUCAACUGAUGGAAGUCCUCUAAGCUAGGUUUCUUGCAAGACAGGAGCACACUCAGCUGCAACUUCAUGGAAGGAGAAGGUUCUUGGUAUUGCCAGUAUAUCUAGGAGGAGCCCACAGCUAAAAAAGGUUCGAACUUCCAAGACAUCACUUCUCUUCACUGGAAUCAACUCACUGUCUACGCAGUCAAUACAAGUCCAGGAACAUCAACUGAUGGAAGUCCUCUAAGCUAGGUUUCUUGCAAGACAGGAGCACACUCAGCUGCAACUUCAUGGAAGGAGAAGGUUCUUGGUAUUGCCAGUACAUCUAGGAGGAGCCCACAGCUAAAAAAAGGUUCGAACUUCCAAGACAUCACUACUCUUCACUGGAAUCAACUCACUGUCUACGCAGUCAAUACAAGUCCAGGAACAUCAACUGAUGGAAGUCCUCUAAGCUAGGUUUCUUGCAAGACAGGAGCACACUCAGCUGCAACUUCAUGGAAGGAGAAGGUUCUUGGUAUUGCCAGUACAUCUAGGAGGAGCCCACAGC